rnacentral:rRNA from 1 species
AACGAACGCUGGCGGCAUGCCUAACACAUGCAAGUCGAACGAGACCUUCGGGUCUAGUGGCGCACGGGUGCGUAACGCGUGGGAACCUGCCCUUAGGUUCGGAAUAGCUCCCCGAAAGGGGUGCUAAUACCGGAUAAUGUCUUCGGACCAAAGAUUUAUCGCCUUUGGAUGGGCCCGCGUUGGAUUAGCUAGUUGGUAGGGUAAAAGCCUACCAAGGCGACGAUCCAUAGCUGAUCUGAGAGGAUGAUCAGCCACACUGGGACUGAGGCACGGCCCAGACUCCUACGGGAGGCAGCAGUGGGGAAUAUUGGACAAUGGGCGAAAGCCUGAUCCAGCAAUGCCGCGUGAGUGAUGAAGGCCUUAGGGUUGUAAAGCUCUUUUACCCGGGAUGAUAAUGACAGUACCGGGAGAAUAAGCUCCGGCUAACUCCGUG